AGAGUUUGAUCCUGGCUCAGAUUGAACGCUGGCGGCAGGCCUAACACAUGCAAGUCGAGCGGGAACUUCGGUUCUAGCGGCGGACGGGUGAGUAAUGCGUAGGAAGCUACCCGAUAGAGGGGGAUACCAGUUGGAAACGACUGUUAAUACCGCAUAAUGUCUACGGACCAAAGUGUGGGACCUUCGGGCCACAUGCUAUCGGAUGCGCCUACGUGGGAUUAGCUAGUUGGUGAGGUAAUGGCUCACCAAGGCGACGAUCCCUAGCUGGUUUGAGAGGAUGAUCAGCCACACUGGAACUGAGACACGGUCCAGACUCCUACGGGAGGCAGCAGUGGGGAAUAUUGGACAAUGGGCGCAAGCCUGAUCCAGCCAUGCCGCGUGUGUGAAGAAGGCCUUCGGGUUGUAAAGCACUUUCAGCGAGGAGGAAGGAGUUGUAGUUAAUAGCUGCAACUUUUGACGUUACUCGCAGAAGAAGCACCGGCUAACUCUGUGCCAGCAGCCGCGGUAAUACAGAGGGUGCAAGCGUUAAUCGGAAUUACUGGGCGUAAAGCGCACGCAGGCGGUUGGUUAAGUCAGAUGUGAAAGCCCCGGGCUCAACCUGGGAAUUGCAUUUGAAACUGGCCAACUAGAGUAUGUGAGAGGGGGGUAGAAUUCCAAGUGUAGCGGUGAAAUGCGUAGAGAUUUGGAGGAAUACCCAGUGGCGAAGGCGGCCCCCUGCCACAAUACUGACGCUCAGGUGCGAAAGCGUUGGGGGAGCUAAACAGGGAUUAGAUUACCCCUUGGUAGUCCAACGCCGUUAA
rnacentral:rRNA from 1 species